rnacentral:rRNA from 1 species
AUUGAACGCUGGCGGCAGGCCUAACACAUGCAAGUCGGACGGUAGCACAGAGGAGCUUGCUCCUUGGGUGACGAGUGGCGGACGGGUGAGUAAUGUCUGGGGAUCUGCCCGAUAGAGGGGGAUAACCACUGGAAACGGUGGCUAAUACCGCAUAACGUCGCAAGACCAAAGAGGGGGACCUUCGGGCCUCUCACUAUCGGAUGAACCCAGAUGGGAUUAGCUAGUAGGCGGGGUAAUGGCCCACCUAGGCGACGAUCCCUAGCUGGUCUGAGAGGAUGACCAGCCACACUGGAACAGAGACACGGUCCAGACUCCUACGGGAGGCAGCAGUGGGGAAUAUUGCACAAUGGGCGCAAGCCUGAUGCAGCCAUGCCGCGUGUAUGAAGAAGGCCUUCGGGUUGUAAAGUACUUUCAGCGGGGAGGAAGGCGGUGCGGUUAAUAACCGCGUCGAUUGACGUUACCCGCAGAAGAAGCACCGGCUAACUCCGUGCCAGCCGCCGCCGUAA